CCUGAUCCGUCCGUUCCGCGUGCAUGAUGACGGCCCUCUGGGUUGUAAACUGCUUUUAUUUGGGAAGAAACCCUGGGAUUUAUCCCGGGCUGACGGUACCAAAAGAAUAAGCACCGGCUAAUUCCGUGCCAGCAGCCGCGGUAAUACGGAAGGUGCAAGCGUUAUCCGGAAUCACUGGGUUUAAAGGGUGCGUAGGCGGUUACGUCAGUCAGAAGUGAAAGCUCACAGCUUAACUGUGGAAUUGCUUUUGAUACUGCGUAACUAGAAUCAGGUUGAGGUUGGCGGAAUGUGACAUGUAGCGGUGAAAUGCAUAGAUAUGUCAUAGAACACCAAUUGCGAAGGCAGCUGACUAGACCUGCAUUGACGCUGAGGCACGAAAGCGUGGGGAGCGAACAGGAUUAGAUACCCUGGUAGUCCACGCCCUAAACGAUGCUUACUCGAUGUGUGAAUUAUUGCGCAUCCAAGGGAAACCGUUAAGUAAGCCACCUGGGGAGUACGUUC
rnacentral:rRNA from 1 species